rnacentral:rRNA from 1 species
UACGUAGGGGGCAAGCGUUGUCCGGAAUCAUUGGGCGUAAAGCGCGUGUAGGCGGCUAGAUAAGUCUGCUCUGAAAGCCCGGGGCUCAACCCCGGGAGGCGGGUGGAUACUGUCUAGCUCGAGUCCGGAAGAGGAGUGUGGAAUUCCUGGUGUAGCGGUGAAAUGCGCAGAUAUCAGGAGGAACACCAAUGGCGAAGGCAGCACUCUGGGACGUGGCUGACGCUGAGACGCGAAAGCGUGGGGAGCAAACAGG